ACCCCGGCCCUUUUCAGGGCCACCCAAAUGUCUAAGAAAGAGCUGU
rfam:Branchiostoma floridae strain S238N-H82 BRAFLscaffold_22_Cont4286, whole genome shotgun sequence.